GUCAGGAUGGCCGAGUGGUCUAAGGCGCCAGAGCGCCAGACUCAAGUUCUGGUCUUCCUACGAGGGCGUGGGUUCAAAUCCCACUUCUGACA